GCUAGAGAUGACAAUGCCCAGGCGUGUGUAAUUUUUUUUAAAGAUGCCACAAAAACCUCAAAUAUAUUUUAAACUAGCUGGCCCGACAAGCGUUGCUCUGCCCCUUUUUUACUUGCUGGCGAAUUAAAUGUUUAGUUCAUCCAUUAAAUGUUCGACUUCUAACAUUUGUAGCGAUUGCACAGCGCUGGUUCAAUUCUCUAUCAACAUCACCAAUGAAAUAUAUUUGUAAAAACUGAUGGUCAGCAUCUGGGAGUGGCAACAGUGACCCAGCCCUAUGGUAUAUCUGACCUUGAAUCUGGAAUUAUUUUUCUCAUAAAUCAAAUGGCAUACCCCAAAAGAUGUCAUUUGAAAGCACGAAUUGUACUUUUGAAUAUUUUUCAAAAACUCCUUUGACGCUUGUCCAUUGCCAUAAAUUAAUGAGUGCAAAGGGUCUGGUGGAGGUUCUAAUCCACGCAAUUUAACUUUUCCAGAAGCACAGCACAUGGCAGGCGUUUCGUUCAUAAAUUUCAAUGCUCUGCAAUGCACACAUUCUUCAUUCAUUUGUCCAAUAUUGGAAUAUAUGCUAAAUUCUCUAACAACUGUGGCUUUUCGUGUUCGUCUACCAGUAUUUGAACGUCUUGGAAGUGGCAUUUUGAUUCCGAACGCAAAAAAAAGACUUAUAACAGUCACGAAUGCAAUGAUCUGGCAACGAAUGCCAUAUAAACAAUACAUCAGUCAUUAAAUGUAUGGCAGCACCACUGGUAUAUUAAAGCUAUAUGUUAUACUUACAACACUA